AGAGGCAGCCCAGAGAAGCAUUUGGUAGGAAAAACUUAUUAAGAAAACAUCUUAACAAAGCAACACAACUCAUGGCCAUCACCCCUGAAGCCUGGCCAGGCCCCGUGGGCACCAGGUGAAGCAAAGGACAAGAGAGUCACAUGGGAGCCAAAGGGCAGGGAUGGAGCAAAGCCAGCACCCGGCCACGGGGAGCAGCCAGCAGCCCUGGGGGAAGCAGGAGCUCCCUCCAAACUGUCAUUAGCGUGUCCUUGCAUCAGGCUGCUCGUUCACAUGCCCACGGUGGAUCAUGCUGCCAGCACUCAGCCCAGUCAUGUCCCAGUUCCUGCAGUCAGGGGACACAUCUCGGAGAAGCAGCAGUGGGCGCCAGCAGUGUCCAUGGGAGAUGGUGGGGGCAAGUCCUUCCAUCAAUGGGGUGCCAGGGGAGGGCACGGCGUGUCCGGGCUGGAGCUGACUGUCCCUUUCACUGGAAAGCUUUCCCGGGCUGUCGGCUGGCCAGCUCUCUCCUGACGCUGGCUCAGCAGGGGCCGUUCAAUUGCAGAGUUCAGCAGGUCGUCAGAACAAACGUUUCCAAUACAGCCCAGUUUGGGGAAAAGCAAAUGGGCAAACGUCGCUUAGAGCGAAGCCCAGCCCGCCCAGCGCCUUGCACAGAUCACACCAGCAGCAUCCGCAGGCAGCUCCUUGGUUGGGGACGGUGAGUCCUAAGGUCCUGGGCUGGGUGUCCAGAAGCAGACGGCAGUGGCUCCAGCUGAGUUCCUUUAGCGCCAUGCGCUGGCCUGGAGACCUCCCCGGCAGCUGGAGCGGGGACAGUAUAGGCCUUACUGCUCUGCGUGCCACAGACCUGCUCCGCAGCCCCACCUCGGUCCACGGGCUCGUCACCCAGCCCAGGUGCCUCCUUCCGUCGCCUAGCCACCCGCGGAGAGAGCUGUGACAGGAAGUCAGGGUCUGUAGUGAGACUGUGAGGCCCUUUGCAAAGCACCUGGCUAGCACUGGUUGGUGAGCACGCAGGACUCAGGCUGCCCCAGCAUCUGUAAUCUGCACAGCAGGGCCUGGGGGCUCAGCCCUGAGCCCCAUCCCUGUCCCAUACCAAGGUCCCAGGUGAGGCAGCGCCUGGGGAAAGGGUGGAUGAGCUGCUGGUGGCGAGAGAAGCCCCCCCCCCGCCCAUCUGCCAGUGAAGCAGCUGCCUCCCUCUCUCCUGAGAGAGCACUGUCCCCCUCCCCCCAGGCUGAGCAGCCAGGAGCAGCCUCACUGGCAAAAACCAACAGCUGGCUUCGGUCCUGCUGCCUCCCUCUCCAGCCUCCAUCCACUCCUCCCACAGGGCCCUUCGCACCCUGGGCUCCUGCAGAGAUGCUGGCCCUGCGUGGGGAAGGCCUGGGAGUACAGCUAAGUCCCUAGAGAGGGCAACAUUGCACCUUCCUUAAGGUGCUGGGUACCUGCCUGGCCACAGAGCUCCCUGGGCUGUUCUGCAGAGGCCUGGCCUAGCUGCGGGAGCUUGGAGGUGACUACAGCUCCCUCAGCCUCUGCUCCCUGUGCUGCCCCACUAGGGCUCGGACUAGGAGGGCUGGCUCCAUGGAGGAGACAGAGCUCAGCCACGGAUGCGUGGGCCUCUCUGGUCUGCACUUGCCCAGCAGCACCAGAAAUCGGCACCAAUGCCAGGUACUGUGGGACCCUUUCCACUCUGGAGAGGAUGCUGUCUGACAAGGCUCAAUGAGGCAGAUGACAGGGCAAUGGGGUCAGCUCAAGGGCUCCCCUCCAGGCUGAAGGGGCAAUUAGGCGGCGCAAAGCUGCUCAAGCAGCUACCAUGGGCAGUUCAGUGUCAGGGUCUUGUCAACUGUUGCCCAGCUCAGCUGCUUCUGCCCUCUGGCCACAGGAAUAAUUCACCUUCUCCUGGGUCCCUCUGGCCCCAUAUGACAGCCCCUGGGAAAGUGAGCACCCGAGAGCUCCCUCAGGACCCCAAAGCAUGGCCUGUCGUGAUCUCAGGGUGACUCAAUGGAGAGUUUUAUUGUAAUGUCAAAGCCUUAAGAGCAGGUCACAAGCAUGACAAGAGGCAGGGAGUGUGUGGGGAAGGAUCUAAGGGUAUGUACCUGGUAUGGGGGAGCAGAGCAGGGGGCUCAGGAGGUAUAUGAGGCAGAGGGUGUCUGGGGCAGGGGGCUCAGGAGGUAUAUGGGGCAGAGGGUGUGUGGGGCAGGAGGCAGAGCAAGGGGCUCAGGAGGUAUAUGGGGCAGAGGGUGUGUGGGGCAGGGGGCAGAGCAGGGGGCUCAGGAGGUAUAUGGGGCAGAGGGUGUGUGGGGCAGAGGGCAGAGCAGGGGGCUCAGGAGUAUAUGGGGCAGAGGG